CAGCAGCCGCGGUAAAACGAAGGGGGCUAGCGUUGCUCGGAAUUACUGGGCGUAAAGGGAGCGUAGGCGGACAUUUAAGUCAGGGGUGAAAUCCCGGGGCUCAACCUCGGAAUUGCCUUUGAUACUGGGUGUCUUGAGUAUGAGAGAGGUAUGUGGAACUCCGAGUGUAGAGGUGAAAUUCGUAGAUAUUCGGAAGAACACCAGUGGCGAAGGCGACAUACUGGCUCAUUACUGACGCUGAGGCUCGAAAGCGUGGGGAGCAGACAGGAUUAGAUACCCCCGUAGUCCCUGUCUCUUAUAC
rnacentral:rRNA from 1 species